AGAGUUUGAUCCUGGCUCAGGACGAACGCUGGCGGCAUGCCUAAUACAUGCAAGUCGAACGAGCUUCCGUUGAAUGACGUGCUUGCACUGAUUUCAACAAUGAAGCGAGUGGCGAACUGGUGAGUAACACGUGGGAAAUCUGCCCAGAAGCAGGGGAUAACACUUGGAAACAGGUGCUAAUACCGUAUAACAACAAAAUCCGCAUGGAUUUUGUUUGAAAGGUGGCUUCGGCUAUCACUUCUGGAUGAUCCCGCGGCGUAUUAGUUAGUUGGUGAGGUAAAGGCCCACCAAGACGAUGAUACGUAGCCGACCUGAGAGGGUAAUCGGCCACAUUGGGACUGAGACACAGCCCAAACUCCUACGGGAGGCAGCAGUAGGGAAUCUUCCACAAUGGACGAAAGUCUGAUGGAGCAAUGCCGCGUGAGUGAAGAAGGGUUUCGGCUCGUAAAACUCUGUUGUUAAAGAAGAACACCUUUGAGAGUAACUGUUCAAGGGUUGACGGUAUUUAACCAGAAAGCCACGGCUAACUACGUGCCAGCAGCCGCGGUA
rnacentral:rRNA from 1 species